CUGGCCCUAAAGGUAGAAGACGUUCCGUAAAAGUUCGAGUAGUGUUUAUAUGUAAAAACUUGUAUUAUAUUUAUCAUAAACGUGAAAUAUUUUUUAAAAAAUUUUUAAAAUUUUUUUAUUUAUUUAAUUUUUUACAAAGGUAGGAAAAUUACUCAGAGGAGACAGGUGCAACACCUUAGCUACACAGAAAGGAACUAGGACAGCCUUUGAUGUUAGCUAGCAACAGCUAUGGCUGCUGUGAAGCCUGCAGUGUUGUUUGCAACACGGUAGUCCAAGAAACAAGUGACUUAUCAAGUCGGCAGCAUGACAUGAUUCCUGUUCCAUCAUUUCCCUCUGAUUCCUCUCAGAUAUUCAGGAUGCACCCAUCUACAACACAGCUCUAUAUCACUGUCUCACAAAUGAGCUUUAACACGGCUUCGCUUUGGCCUGGAAAGAGCGUGUCACUGAGUGAGGCUGUCGGCUACGCACCGAGAAAACAGCGAACCAAAAGUUCUAAUUGAACUGCCAAUUUGUCAUGUUUAUCUUUGCUGUCUUCCACCAGACACCAAACCGCACAUGCGGCAGCCGCCACAUCCCCUUCCUGGAAACCGGCACAGAUGUAAGCAGUGUUUCUUUCCAUGACAGAUCUGCUGCUCAUUAGUGAAUUAUGCAUUCUUUUCAUUAGAGUCUAACAGAUAGCAUCACAAGCAUCCAGACUUUGUAUUUCUAUUCUUUGUGCCGUUGUCUUGCUGAAUUUUUUGGGGGUGUUUUUCUUUUUUUGCCCUCAAUUUUUUUCCCUUCUUCCACCACUAUGUCCUCGUGGCCUAUGGCUCCUCUGCACUAUCUAUGCCUCGUCUCUUUCUCCGUCUCUGCUCUCUCACUCUCUCCUGGGAAGACUUUAUUAUGCUUUGCUCUGACAGCAAAGUACACAGAUAAAAGAUAAUUGCCUGGCUUGACUCCUCCAUUGAUAUGAAAAUAGGAUUUAAAUUAUUCACAGUGGUUUAAAGGUUAGUUGAAGGUUAUUACUGGGAGAUAGAAGUAGAAAAGAACAAGGUAAGACAAAAAUAAAUAAAUAAAUAAAUAAAAGAGGGGAAAAAAAAAAUCUUGUGCGUUGCAAGCUGUGGCCGGAAGGUGAGGUGCUUUUCUGAAAGACUCAUUUGCAAUGCAUGCAGUGGAGACAUCUUGCGAACAAACCACAAAAGCCUCUCAGGGGGAUUUGAACAUGGUGGUGGAAGUCAGCUAUUAAGCAGCAAAUUAAGGGUGGCUUCUCCACAGCAAAACAUUGUCAGUUGUAAAUAAGGCUGUAUCGGAUCCUUGCCCACGCUCUAAUCCUUUUCAUUCGUCUCCUGUCUAGCCUUGCAUAGCGUUUCAUUUUUCAUGCAAAGCCAUCGGUGCACGUUAGGUAAUACACCGCUCCUUUCUUGUGAAGACAGAAAAGGUUGAAGUGUUGGGUUUAAAUCGGGGCCAGUUCUGUUGGGAGACUGGCUUGUUUUGCACUGGACAUGAUAGACUCAGGAGGGGGUGAGGCAGAAUUACCUGCUCUGUUGUUGUUGCCAGCCUCCCCGAGGACACGUUCGCUGAUCAAAGCAGGGGUUUGUGGGAUAAAUAGAAGAGGGGAGAGGUUAUGAGGAGUCCUUUUUCCGCGCCCAUUGUAUUACCUCUUCAAUGGCUUGUGUGUCUGAAGGGCUUUGCGAUGCCUGCAGACAGGAUUCAGACAUUUCUUACACGGGAAGGCUGCGGUAGGUGGUCUGUAAACAAAAC
rnacentral:lncRNA from 1 species